rnacentral:rRNA from 1 species
GACGAACGCUGGCGGCGUGCUUAACACAUGCAAGUCGAACGGAAAGGCCCUGCUUUUGCGGGGUGCUCGAGUGGCGAACGGGUGAGUAACACGUGAGUAACCUGCCCUUGACUUUGGGAUAACUUCAGGAAACUGGGGCUAAUACCGGAUAGGAGCUCCUGCUGCAUGGUGGGGGUUGGAAAGUUUCGGUGGUUGGGGAUGGACUCGCGGCUUAUCAGCUUGUUGGUGGGGUAGUGGCUUACCAAGGCUUUGACGGGUAGCCGGCCUGAGAGGGUGACCGGCCACAUUGGGACUGAGAUACGGCCCAGACUCCUACGGGAGGCAGCAGUGGGGAAUAUUGCACAAUGGGCGGAAGCCUGAUGCAGCAACGCCGCGUGCGGGAUGACGGCCUUCGGGUUGUAAACCGCUUUCGCCUGUGACGAAGCGUGAGUGACGGUAAUGGGUAAAGAAGCACCGGCUAACUACGUG